rnacentral:lncRNA from 1 species
AUGAUGUUUUAGUUUCAGUUUUCUUUUAUGGCCUGUAACUAUGACUAGACUACUCUCAUGUUUUUCUAGUAUGUUUUCUCUUUCUAUUUGCUUUCUUUUGGCAAUUUUUUGCAAAAAGGGGGAGAGCGUAGAUGAAGGGGGAGAGCAUGGAUGAGCAGGCUUUGACACUGAAGCAGAGGAUGAUAAGUUCAAGAACAAAGGGGGAGAUGUGAACAAAGGGGGAGAAGGUAUAAGAAUUUAGUGCUAAUCAUUUUUGAAUGAAGUAUUUUGCAGGAAAUCAAGACUUCAUGACUCCUAGUUGCGUCUAAGUCAUAGAGUCUGUUUUAGGAGUUUUGAUGUAAUUUUGAGUUUCAUAUUGUAUUUGGAUUACACGCGAGGGGUUCGAUGUUUUGGUGAUGACAUUGAACUUCGUUUUUUCUUUAAAUUGUAAUUUGUGAGUUUGUGUGUGUUUUGUCACGAAAUUGCCAAAGGGGGAGAUUGUUAGGUCCUAUGUGUUGGCAAGUUUCGUGGGUCGAGUCGGAGUCUUGAAGAAGUUCGGAGCGGAGUAUUGAAGAUCGAAGAAU